rnacentral:lncRNA from 1 species
AAUGAUGCUUUGAAUUUGUAUAUAAGCUUGGUACAGAUGGGGGGCAACGAACUUUGUUUUUUUUUUUUUUUUUUUGAUAAGGAAGUAAAGCUUUCCAUUAACAGAACUUUGACAGUAGCAACGAAACAUGAACUGGGAAAUUUUCCAGCCAAAUACACUGAUUUUCAACGUCUAAAGCUUUCUUUGCUACAGAAUGAGCAGCUAUAUUACAGCCCCUUGGAGCAAAUUGGAUUGAUGCUUGGCUCUGGAUCCUAAGCUUUGUCUGGAUUUCUGCAAUAAUCCAUUCAAUUUCUGACUUGCUUUCUUUUCUGUUCAAUGAAAGAUCCACCACCUCCUUUGAAUCUGACUCAAUGACCAUUGGCACACAAGCCACCUGUUGAGCAGUUGGAAGCUGAAGCUGUUUUGUUUGGAAACGAACUUUGUUUAAAACUUGAUAUCACGAUGAAAAAAAAGUGUUCCG